rnacentral:rRNA from 1 species
UGGGGAAUAUUGCGCAAUGGCCGAAAGGCUGACGCAGCGACGCCGCGUGUGGGAGGAAGCCCUUCGGGGUGUAAACCACUGUCGGGAGGGACGAAUCGCGAACGGGCAAAUAGCCCGGGCGCUUGACGGUACCUCCAAAGGAAGCACCGGCUAACUCCGUGCCAGCAGCCGCGGUAAGACGGAGGGUGCAAGCGUUGUUCGGAAUUACUGGGCGUAAAGCGCGGGCAGGUGGCCUUUUAAGUCCUUUGUGAAAUUCCGGAGCUCAACUCCGGAUGUGCAUAGGAUACUGGAAGGCUAGAGACUGGUAGAGGCGAGCGGAAUUCCUGGUGUAGCGGUGGAAUGCGUAGAUAUCAGGAAGAACACCGGUGGCGAAGGCGGCUCGCUGGGCCAGUUCUGACACUCAUCCGCGAAAGCGUGGGGAGCAAACAGGAUUAGAUACCCCCGUAGUCC